UACGUAGGGGGCAAGCGUUGUCCGGAAUCAUUGGGCGUAAAGAGCGUGUAGGCGGCUCGGUAAGUCCGCUGUGAAAGUCCAGGGCUCAACCCUGGAAAGCCGGUGGAAACUGUCGAGCUCGAGUCCGGAAGAGGCGAGUGGAAUUCCUGGUGGUAGCGGUGAAAUGCGCAGAUAUCAGGAGGAACACCAAUGGCGAAGGCAGCUCGCUGGGACGGUACUGACGCUGAGACGCGAAAGCGUGGGGAGCGAACAGG
rnacentral:rRNA from 1 species